CAUGUCGAUUACCUAAUUAAGCAUAAAUAAAGUUUCGAUUACAUCCAAGAUAGAUUUGUUCUGGCCUUUCUUUUUGCACAAUUACUUUGUGCUUUCACUUUCUUCCGACUAUUAGGUGUUCAUUGAAGCGUGAAAAAAGAGAGCAGGGUUCUUAUUAUUUAACAAAAAACUGCUGUCUAUUUAAGACCUCCCAAUCAUUAUGGAGUUCAGUAACAAUAAAGAUUUCGUCGUAGAUAUUUUGAGGUAGAGCUGCUAACUCCACAACUAUUAUGGAAAAACGCUUAUGUAUCUUAUUACUGCUGUCUCUGGUCGUCCUCUCCGCUGCGAGACCACAGGAGUUUGAUGAAGAUGAAGACCAUAGCCAAGCUGAAGAGAAAAAAGAUGACGUAGCCCGAGUACAAAUUAAGGUUUACAGAGGACCCACCAAGCACGACGGAUACGCACCAUGGGGCUUUUGGGUCAAGCAGCCUUCGGACGAUUAGCGCUAGAUGGCGCUACUAGUUAUUA